AUGCUUCACCAUCAUCGCUCCCUCACCGAAUCUCUGCCUUGUGCUCUCAAUUUCUCACCUCUCAGUUUAAACUCAAGAUUUCAACAGACGCACGAAAUUGACAAAAUCAAGAGCAAUAGGAAUUACCUAUCAGAAGAACUAUCUAUUGUUUCGUCAACAUCGAAUCAGGUAUCUGCCAUUUUGCUUUUGCAAUAUGUUCUUCCCUUUCGACUCUGCAAAUCCUCUUCUUAUUCUCGCGUUACUGUGAACUGUUGUUGUUACAUGAGAUUGUUGCACGCAGAAGCAUAG